rnacentral:rRNA from 1 species
AUUGAACGCUGGCGGCAGGCCUAACACAUGCAAGUCGAACGAGUGGCGGACGGGUGAGUAAUGUCUGGGAAACUGCCUGAUGGAGGGGGAUCACUACUGGAAACGGUAGCUAAUACCGCAUACCAUCAGAUGUGCCCAGAUGGGAUUAGCUAGUAGGUGGGGUAAUGGCUAACCUAGGCGACGAUCCCUAGCUGGUCUGAGAGGAUGACCAGCGACACUGGAACUGCGACACGGCCCAGACUCCUAGGGGAGGCAGCAGUGGGGAAUCUUGCACCAUGGGCGCAAGCCUGAUGCAGCCAUGCCGCGUGUGUGAAGAAGGCCUGCGGGUUGUAAAGCACUUUCAUCGAGGAGGCGUUACUCGCAGAAGAAGCACCGGCUAACUCCGUGCCAGCAGCCGCGGUAAUUC